rnacentral:precursor_RNA from 1 species
UACAUAUAGAAUUUUCAUUUUUAAGGUAAGAAAACUAUACAAAUGGAAAGAUGUAUACCAUUUACAAAAACAAAUGAUUUGUCAAAAGAAUUUAGCUGAUAGAUAUUGCUCAUUAUAGGCAUUAUCUGCAUAAAUUCAAUUGGCUGAUAUAUUCGUUAUUGCAAUACAAAUAACAAGUUCACUAUUAGAAGUUCAAGCAUAUGACCAAGGAAAAUAAUUGCCUGAUUACAAAGCUAGAAAGGCAAUCCAGAGUACAGUAAGCUUGUACUUACACAUGGGUGAUAGUAGUUCAAUCUUGUGUUAAUGAAGAGAUUGGUGAAAGUACAACAUAAACAAUAACUGUUUAAAUAAUAAUAUCAUACUCUAAACAGAUAAACUUCAACUUCAUUCAAGAAAUGUUAAGAAUUAAAUUUUAGAAGUCUUUAAUAAAUAUUUUUAAAAUAAUACUUUUCUCAGCAUAUAUACAACUACUACUGAGCUAUACCCACUGCUCUACUAUGUUCUUUUAAAAAAACUGCAUUUUGAAAUAUAUAUACAUUUGUUCAUUAUAGAGGCAGGGAAGGAAAGAAAUCGCUACCAGUGCGUAACAUCAUUAGAGCAUAUUAGCAUCUCUGAUUUGUGAUUAAGAUUGAAAAUAAUAUGUUGUUGUAUGUUAAUUUUAUAAAAGAAAUUAAUAUUGCUGUAAAAUUUUUAAAAAAAUUAUUAAUAAUAACAAUUAUUACUGCAAAACAAUUUAUCAAUGAUAAUGAAAACUGUUAUUCUUAUAAAAUUAUAAUUAUAAGUAUUAUAUAAUAAAAUUUUAGUUAUAGUUAAUCAUUAAAAAUAUAAAAUUUACUGUCAUAAGUUUAUAAUAAUAAUAUAUAAAUUAAUACAUAGCCAAAAAGUAUAUGUAUACUCCGCAAAAAAUGUUAAAUUCAGUAGCAAUAAUUUUUACAUCGAAAAUUAUCAAUGGAGCCAAGAACAUAUGACUCGGCAAUGCUUCUACAGCUUGUUCCGUUACAGUAUUGAUUAUGCCAUCUUGUUGCAUUUGUCUACGAGAAUGACAAGGAAAGACCAAAAUCCCAAUAAAAAGGAAUUGCAGUCUUGUUUUAGUGUUUUAUAAAGAUUUUCUGUUGUGACAAAAUGAAGCUAGUAAUUUAGUGGUCAAGGUUAUAGCAAAUCAAGACUUCAAAGUUUCAAUCAACUUAGCAUUAAACAUAUCCAAAUAUCUCUUUUCACUUCACAUGGGACGACUUAUUAAAAAGAGAUGUGGUGAUGAAUCACAAUACGCAAACUAUUUUGACAAGUUAGGAUAGUGAGACUUAUAUAUAACAUAAGUGAGACUAAUGUUUCUGUAUUGGGUGACAAGUUUUAAUAUAUAUAUUUUUUAAUUUUUUAAGUUAAAUUCUUGCGUAUAUUUAUAAUAAAUUUAAAAUGGAACCCAAUUUUUAAGGCAUAAUAAAGAAGCAUCUUCUUCUCUUAAUUUGUAACAGUACUGUGUACAUAUAUAGAUGAUUAUCAUCACCACAUCUCUGAAUAUACAUAGUAAAAUCUUUGUAAUGAUAUGCUCUAUAUAAAAUUUGGUCCAAAAUUUCCUUCCUUUCACAUGAUGACUUUUUUUUAAGUAAUAUCUGAUUUGCAAGAUAGAUACUUACAUCUGCUUUGGAAUUUCAAAAAAAUUAUAAUAAAUAAAAGUGAAUGAAGAUAAUAUCGUGUAUCAUUCUCUUUAAGUUUUAAUUUAGUUAAAUUAUAAAAAUUUCUUCAUAAUUUAAAUGAUUUAAUUAUUUUUUUAAUUAUAAUUUUUUAUAAUUCAUCUAAUUAGUUUCCUUUCUCUCUUGUAACUGAGAUAAAGGAAGAUGUAUUAAUUAUUUUUUUUAAUUUUAUCUUUAUUUUUAUUAACAUAAUAAUUAUCAAUUACACCAAGCAUUCUUGUUUUAUAAUACUAUAUCUGUUCACUUUUAUCUGUGAAAAGUAGUAGUGAGUGACAAAUUAUAUAUAUAUAUAUAUCAUGAAAUUGUUCAUCACGGUGGCUCAUUUAUUCACUUUCUGUAUUUGAUUAUUCAAUCUGUAUUUCAUGUUCACUUUCAAUAUUUCUGAAUUUUGUUGGGUGUAACAACUCACCUUAUAUAGUGAGUUACAAUAUUUUCAUAUAUUCUUUUCUUCUUUGGUAUGGGCAUCCAUUGAUGGAGCUGUCAAAGGAGCAUCUUUUUAUAAUCAACUGCAUAUAGUCCAAAAAUAAUAAUAAUUAAAGAAAAAAAAAUAUAAACAACUAUGGCUGAUGAGACUUGUGAGGGAUUGAAACUUUAAAAUUAUUAGUACUUUUCUACAGAAAUGAUGAAUUUAAUAUGGUUUGUCCUGGAGAGAAGAUUGGCAUCAGCAUUCAAAGGCAUUGAAUUGAUUUCCUUGUGUAUUUUAUCAGCAGGAUUUCCUGAAAUGAGGAGAGAAGUGUAACCGUUGUUGUGGGUAUACGUAAGGUAACCGAACCACAAUAAAUUUUCUUUGUUUCUUUUGUUGAAAGGUCUCUAUUUAUAAUAAUAAUAUGGAAUUUGACAAAACUAAUGUGAUUGCAACUUCACCCAUUAUUCCUCUUAAACUAAUGUUAAGAUCUGCCCCUGUAGAAACAGAUGGACUUCAAUAAAUCUAACUCAAUUUCUGAAGCUGGCUCAAGUUGAAGAAUGGCUAACAAAUUACUCACAAGCCUAACAUAGAGAUAAGAAUGGGCUAGAUAUUAUGUAGAGAAAAUAAAUUAGUAAAGUAAAGAAAAUGAACUAGACUUGAAUCACUAAAGGGAGGAUAGGAUGUCCCACACCCUCAUAUCUAUCAUCAUGUUAUGUAUGCAAGGGCACUAUGCUUCCAAUAUGUUGUGCAUCUUAUGAUUUACAAACAAAGAAGGGGAACUCGAACUUAGAUUCUUACUCAAAUUGAUGAGAAGUGAGAUCUAUUUGACCUCAUUAUUGUCCUUUUUUAGAAGGAAGGAAAGGGAAUUUGAACUUACUCACACGCACAAAAGCAUCUUUUCUACACAUGAUUACAUCUACAAACAACCACAUAUAAUAGCUGCUAAUUAUUACCUAAUUAUUCCCACUCCCACUUUAUCACUCCCUCAAUGCCUCUUUUUCCAAGUUUUGUAAUCUGUGAACAACAUACCUAACUUUCUAGGCUGUUUGUUUCUUUUGGGAAAGGUCCUUUGAAACCCACAAAAAAGCUUGAAACUUUGUGCACCAGCAGUCUAGUUCUUUCUUGCUCAUAUACAAGAGGUAGGAUGAUGAAUGAUGGCCUUUUUACUGUAAAAGAUUCUUUAUUUUUAUUGCUUAACCUCAACAUAUCCUUUUCCAAAGAGAGGGGUCUCUCACCAACGGACAGAAAAAUUAGGAAAAUAUAAUGAACCUGAGACUUGUUUUGGGAGGUAAUGAUUCUCUCUCUCUCUCUCUCUCUCUCUCUCUCUCUCUCUCUCUCUUGUAACAUUCACAGAGAGGUUGACCAUGGUUUUUCUCUUCUUUCUUUCUUCUGCUUUUUAUAUCAAUCCAUCUCUCCAAAAAUGCUAACAAACAAGACCCGAAGAUGCCCCUGACUACUUGCUGCUUUAACUUUCUGACAAAGAUGUCUCUGUCUGUGGUUAGAAUUUGCAUGGAGUCAUUUUCAGAACCACUUGUCAAUCGAAGCUAUCUCUCUCUCUCUCUUGAGAAAUUCUCUGGUUUUCUUUCUCUUUUUUGAAGGUAUCUCUCUCUCUCUCUCUCUUUCUCUCUCCCUUCUCUUUCCCCAUACAGUUCAUGUCAAGUCUCUCCUUCUCUUUCCCCUGCGAAGAAGAUCAUACAGUUCAGGUAAUGGUAAGUGAAUCUCGGACCAGGCUUCAUUCC